AGUGAACGCUGGCGGUAGGCCUAACACAUGCAAGUCGAACGGCAGCACAGUAAGAGCUUGCUCUUACGGGUGGCGAGUGGCGGACGGGUGAGGAAUACAUCGGAAUCUACUUUUUCGUGGGGGAUAACGUAGGGAAACUUACGCUAAUACCGCAUACGACCUACGGGUGAAAGCAGGGGAUCUUCGGACCUUGCGCGAUUGAAUGAGCCGAUGUCGGAUUAGCUAGUUGGCGGGGUAAAGGCCCACCAAGGCGACGAUCCGUAGCUGGUCUGAGAGGAUGAUCGGCCACACGGGAACUGAGAGAGGGUCCAGACUCCGACGGGGGGCAGCAGUGGGGAAUAUUGGACAAUGGGGGAAAGCCGGAUCCAGCCAUACCGCGGGGGUGAAGAAGGCCUUCGGGUUGUAAAGCCCUUUUGUUGGGAAAGAAAAGCAGCAGGUUAAUACCCCGCUGUUCUGACGGUACCCAAAGAAUAAGCACCGGCUAACUUCGU
rnacentral:rRNA from 1 species